GCAUCCUCAGGAACAAGGUGAGACUGGAGCCUUGACCUAUAGAUCAAACCCAGCACCUGGCGGGCCCGAGGUCCAGAGACGAGGGCUCGGUGCGGUCCUAUACCUCCUUUGCGUUGGCCUCGGGGAUAUGCUUCGCGUGGGUGUCCUGAGCCUGGGCCACCUCAUGAUGGGUGCCUCUAGUCGCCCGCGCUACACGACCUGCUCGGUUGACGCCCUCGCCAGCUCAGAUUCGUGAU
rnacentral:lncRNA from 1 species